GACAGAGGGUGCAAACGUUGUUCGGAAUUACUGGGCGUAAAGGAGCGCGCAGGCGGUCGUUCAAGUCGCGUGUGAAAGCCCCCGGCUCAACUGGGGAGGGUCACGCGAUACUGAUCGACUCGAAGGCAGGAGAGGGUAGUGGAAUUCCCGGUGUAGUGGUGAAAUGCGUAGAUAUCGGGAGGAACACCAGUGGCGAAGGCGACUACCUGGCCUGUUCUUGACGCUGAGGCGCGAAAGCUAGGGGAGCAAACGGGG
rnacentral:rRNA from 1 species